CAGCUGGGAUUCAUGGAUAUUGUCAACUGAUGGCCGGGAUCUUCCCUCCCCAUCCCAGUUAUAAUCAACCCGAGCAAUAAUUCUGCGUUCCGCUUAUCUUUACUUCUCCAUCUCUCGCUAUUCAAUGCAUCCCGAGUUUUACUCUUCUUCAUUCUUUAACGCUUUUUUUCCUAAAUCAAUUAAAACCUCGGCAAAGAAAAACCCUCGAAAUUCCGAUGAAUUAUUGUUUUGCAGCGUUAAAUUAAAACGCCUCCAGGAAGAAUUUAAUUGCUCCUCCAUGUAUAUCUUUUCUCUUCUCAAACGAUCGAUUGGAGACCCAAAUUACCUCCCCACUUUGAAGAGGUACGUCUUCCCUCAUUAUUCCUUUUCGUUUUCUGAUUAACCAUGAUGUACCAAUCUGUUUCGACCAUGUUUUUUUUUGUUGGUCUAAUCGUCUUCAAACUCAUGGUAACACAACGAAAUGUCGCUUGAAUCUGUUAUAUUAACAUUGUAAAAUCUCUACUGCUUCCUCUUUAUGUUUUACUUAUUUUUAUCCUCAAAUAAUAGAAACAUCUUGGUAAAAUAUUUGUUGCUUUCUCAAAUCUUCAUCCGUGAAGAAAGGGAUGAAGAAACAAUUGCCAGAAAUCUAUCAGGUAUGUGGUAUAAAUUUUGGAUUAAGCUCUCUAACAUGAGUUUUGAUUUUUGUGGUUCUUUACUAAUGAAAUCCAAACUCUUGAAAUUGUCCUACUGGGAUAGCGCCUGCUAAGAUUGUAUAUUUCUUGCUUCCAGUAAUUAUUUUAUAGGAUUCUCCCCCUGUUGAAACGAAUCACCGGGUUAAUUUGUAUUUGUGUGAAAGACCUAUCGGGUCCGAGAGUACGCUGAUCAAUUCCAAAUGCUCAAAAUAGAUUUAGUAAUCAUGUACUUAUAGUUAUGCAUAAUCUCAUGGAAAGAAGAUAUGUAAUGAUCCUGUAAUGCAAAUCCUGCUAAAGGUGCGGUUUCGGGAUUAGCUUUGGUUGUAAAAGCAUGUGGAAGUGAUGUCCCAAGGCUCUCAAAUUCAGUGUUCUUCAGAAACUUGGCCAUCCAAGUUGUGGAAGAUUUACUCCCACACGUUUCCGCCACACUGUGCGUUGAAAAUAAUCCCUAUGGGAUAAUAUGACGUGAUAAAAGCUCUCCAACAAAAUACAGAUCCUGUCACCAAGGAUAGAAAUACGUCUGACAUCUCUAUUAAGAAGUUUGAUAACUUGGGAAAAGAUUGAACUUUAGAUCGUCUCUCAGAUUAAAGAGUUUUUAUGGUGGCAGAUUUUGGCACCAUUCAUGCAGUCAGCUCCUAAAGAUUUAGCGGCUGACACUCUUAAGGUAUCAAAAAGCUAGACCACUUUGUCGGUUCCGGCUAAAAAAGGUAAAGCAAACAUGCAUAUUUUGGAUGCCGUUGCCGAUAAUAGAAAAGCCAUCUCUCAACUUCUCUUUGCCAAACGGCACCUCGCCUACCACAGUAGGUUUAAGAGAUUCAUAUCAAUGGUAUAUUGGUCAGCGAUGCAAAUUCAAAAUAUACAUCCGGCGUUGUUAAAUCAGUCACCAUCUUCAUUAGAAACCAUGCAAUCAAUAAAGCUUGAAAAUCAGAGGUGGUAAAUACUCUCUUAUGUGAUCAAGUUUUUGCUAAGACGUUGUAUGCCUCCGUACCACUGUGUAUAGUGGAGGUGGAAGAUUUAACUGCCACUGCUAUUUCGUGGCAGAUGAAAAGGAGGCUGAAGAGUACUGUGCAUAAACAUAUGAACAUUCAUUGGGUGCUUUCCCCAGGACAUGUAUUUGAGAUCCUGUAUGAGGUUUUACACAAAGAAACGUGCUAGAGAAAAUCGUCAUAUACAAUUGCAGGACAAUUCGCGGCGGACUAAGUUUUCGAGAGGAGAACCAAAAGCUCAUGGUUUCAAGAUAAUUUGUACCAAGUCUCAAGCAAUGGAGAAAGAUUUAGACAAUGAAUUGUAGGGAUGCAGUGUUUCUUUAUGGAUGGUAGUAAUUACUUUUUGCAAUCGAUUUAGUCAAUGUAACUGUUGAUAAAGUUGAUAUAAUCCAAGGAAUGUUGUACCGAGAAGUUAUUUUUAAGAAAGGAUUGGUACACUGUCACCUAAA